CCCCUGGGAAACUGGGACUAAUCCCUGAUAAGUCUCCGUAGCUGGAAUGCUCGGAGACGGAAAGCUCCGGCGCCACAGGAUGGGUCUGCGGCCUAUCAGGGUAGUAGUGGGUGUAGAGUACCUACUAGCCUACGACGGGUACGGGUUGUGAGAGCAAGAGCCCGGAGAUGGAUUCUGAGACACGAAUCCAGGCCCUACGGGGUGCAGCAGGCGCGAAAACUUUACAAUGCUGGCAACAGCGAUAAGGGAACCUCGAGUGCCAGGUUACAAAUCUGGCUGUCGAGAUGCCUAAAAAGCAUUUCAUAGCAAGGGCCGGGCAAGACCGGUGCCAGCCGCCGCGGUAACACCGGCGGUUCGAGUGGUAACCGUUAUUAUUGGGUCUAAAGGGUCUGUAGCCGGCCGGAUAAGUCUCUUGAGAAAUCUGGCAGCUUAACUGUCAGGCUUUCAGGAGAUACUGUCUGGCUCGAGGCCGGGAGAGGUGAGAGGUACUUCAGGGGUAGGGGUGAAAUCUUGUAAUCCUUGAAGGACCACCAGUGGCGAAGGCGUCUCACCAGAACGGACCUGACGGCAAGGGACGAAAGCUAGGGGCACGAACCGGAUUAGAUACCCGGGUAGUCCUAGCCGUAAACGAUACUCGCUAGGUGUCGGCCACGGUGCGACCGUGGUCGGUGCCGUAGGGAAGCCGUGAAGCGAGCCACCUGGGAA
rnacentral:rRNA from 1 species